AAAUAAUGAAGCAGUAACGAAGAGCCUUCACCGCUUUCUACAAAAACAACUGCAUUGAAUAUUGAGAACGAAUCAGGUGAAAGCAUAUUAGGCGAUUGUGAGUCAAAUUACUCAACGAACACUAAACA